rnacentral:rRNA from 1 species
UGGGGAAUUUUCCGCAAUGGGCGAAAGCCUGACGGAGCAAUGCCGCGUGGAGGUGGAAGGCCUACGGGUCGUCAACUUCUUUUCUCGGAGAAGAAACAAUGACGGUAUCUGAGGAAUAAGCAUCGGCUAACUCUGCGGCAG